rnacentral:rRNA from 1 species
GACGAACGCUGGCGGCGUGCUUAACACAUGCAAGUCGAACGGAAAGGCCCUGCUUUUGUGGGGUGCUCGAGUGGCGAACGGGUGAGUAACACGUGAGUAACCUGCCCUUGACUUUGGGAUAACUUCAGGAAACUGGGGCUAAUACCGGAUAGGAGCUCCUGCUGCAUGGUGGGGGUUGGAAAGUUUCGGCGGUUGGGGAUGGACUGCCGGCUUAUCAGAUUGUUGGGUGGGUAGUGGCUUACCAAGGCUUUGACGGGUAGCCGGCCUGCGAGGGUGACAGGGCACAUUGGGACUGAGAUACGGCCCAGACUCCUACGGGAGGCAGCAGUGGGGAAUAUUGCACAGCGGGCGGAAGCCUGGUGCAGCAACGCCGCGUGCGGGAUGAGGGCCUGCUGGUUGUAAACCGCUUUCGCCUGUGACGAAGCGUGAGUGACGGUAAUGGGUAAAGAAGCACCGGCUAACUACGUG